GCUGAAGUAGCUCAGCUGGGAGUGCAUUAGACUGAAGAUCUAAAGGCCCCUGGUUCAACCCGGGGCUUCAGCA
rfam:Tyto alba contig82045, whole genome shotgun sequence.